UACGGAGGGGGCUAGCGUUGUUCGGAAUUACUGGGCGUAAAGCGUACGUAGGCGGCUUUGUAAGUUAGAGGUGAAAGCCCGGGGCUCAACUCCGGAAUUGCCUUCGAUACUGGCUUUCUAGAGGCUGGAAGAGGUUAGUGGAAUUCCCAGUGUAGAGGUGAAAUUCGUAGAUAUUGGGAAGAACACCAGUGGCGAAGGCGGCUAACUGGUCCAGAUCUGACGCUGAGGUGCGAAAGCGUGGGGAGCAAACAGG
rnacentral:rRNA from 1 species